UACGAAGGGGGCUAGCGUUGCUCGGAAUCACUGGGCGUAAAGCGCACGUAGGCGGCUUCUUAAGUCAGGGGUGAAAUCCUGGAGCUCAACUCCAGAACUGCCUUUGAUACUGAGGCGCUUGAGUCCGGGAGAGGUGAGUGGAACUGCGAGUGUAGAGGUGAAAUUCGUAGAUAUUCGCAAGAACACCAGUGGCGAAGGCGGCUCACUGGCCCGGUACUGACGCUGAGGUGCGAAAGCGUGGGGAGCAAACAGG
rnacentral:rRNA from 1 species